GGAGCUGUUUCGGAUGCAGUGGAGAAUCAGGGUUAGACUUUACAAUAUCUCGAGUCUAGAAAUCGUCCAUCUUCAUUUAUCGUCAAAUAUCGUCUCUCUGGUGUUUCCAAAAUCACUCAGGAUUCGGUGUGAACCCGACACAACAGAACAAACAUGAAGUUUCCUGUAAAACAUCCACCACCCCUCAGUUUGGUACGAUCCACCGCACACUUCACUAAUCCAGGAGCUGUCAAUCAUCUUAUGGACACCAAAGGGAAGAAUGGGGGCGGGGUUUAUGACCUAUUCUGCAGCCAGUCAGUAGGGGGAGCUCUAGAGUCUGUGAUUUCUACAGAUAUGUUUACACUAGAGCUCUUAAGGGCAGACUGGUACGGUGACCAUACGUCCUCUUUUACCCGGACAUGUCCUCUUUUCUGGGGACUGUCCGUCUUUUUCUGGGGAAGUUUAUAAAAUCCUUCAAAUGUCUGAGGUUUAGUACGGAAGUUUCGAGUUUGUGUCGCGUGGAUUUACUGAGUUAGAAGCACGUGAAAGACACUCGAUCUGACUCGAAGAACUCUCAAAAUGAACUUCAUACGACCCCGUGACUCCGCCCCCGUGUAGUUGUGUUUUUUUUUUGGUCACCCUGACAACCAGACUGGACAACCUUUACGAUUUUAUCAAGACAAAUUGGGCGAAUGAGAAUCAAACAGCUGAUAAAACAAAGUGUCUGGAUUAUGAAGUUGUUUCUUGUGUAGAGAUUCAACUCUGAGACAACGAGACACAGGUGAGACAAUCACUGAGGAGGGACAACACAGGAAGUCAAACCAGAUACACAGGGAUCAACUACUACAAAAUAAAACAGGAAGUCAGACUAAUCCAGACACACAAGGAUCAACUCCUACAAAAUAAAACAGGAAGUCAGACUAAGCCAGACACACAAGGAGAAGGAACGACGAAAUAACCGAGGAGACGGUGAAAACUCACCAGACGACCAAACAGAGAAAAUACAAAACCAGGAAAACAGGAAACCAACAAGAACAUCUAACAAAACUCGACAUCAAUUAGCAACAACGCUGAGUGAUUUCCUGUCAUCAAUCAAACAUAAUCUGGAUCAGUAAAAAUGUCUCGUUCAGACUCUCAUAAUCUAAAGUUCACUCCUUUAAUACUGUCGAUGGUUUCGUCCAAAUCAGAUCUCUUUCUUCUCAAAACGAUCUCUGCUCAUCGAGGUUUUCUUCUAACAGCUUCAGUUCGGUUCUCCUGAUUGUCUCGCGUCGACACGUCUUCGUCUUGUUGUUAAAAAGGCUGAUUGGACCUCUGAGACGAGCCCCCGCCUCCUCUCUGUGUCGGGGAUGAAGAGGACGCGCGCUCUCGAGUGUUAAUUGUUUGUAAUGAGCUGUUCGCUCGAACGUCUGAUCUGCUCAUUAACAAGCCCACACUUGAGUGAAAAUAGCCGUGUUCAUUAGAUCUUCAACAGAUUAAUGAAAGAGAAGACGAGGGGAGUGGAAGUGGGCUCUGUGCGCUCCUAGACGCCGUAGGUGGGCUCGUAAUUAGCCGGACAAACUCUGCCGUCCAAUUACUCAUCUGUUUGAAUCCGAACUCCAGCGUGAGGAACAUCUUCACAGCCUGGCUCAGAUUAUAAACUGUAGGUGGGCUGGAUAAUUACCAGCAGAUCUGCU
rnacentral:lncRNA from 1 species